ensembl:lncRNA
UAUUUUCUGCGUAGAUAUGAUUUGUUGUUGAUAUUCCACCAAGAGUGUGUCAGCCAUAAACAUCUCUAAUAGCUGAAAAAGAAAAGAGAUUCACUGUUCCUCAGAAAGGACUUAAAAUCUGUUUCCACAACUGAAAGAAUACCCUGUACCAAAACACUUCAGUAGAUGGUGAAUUGCACAACAUCUGAGAAGUUGACAUAUAUUCAUUGAACACUCGGACUUAAAGAUGCACAGUCUUCCAUACUCCGUACUACUUCCAUACUACAUACUUCCAACAGGCCAAAAAAGAACAAAUAUGGGCUGAGGCAGAAGUGGAGCGCAUAGGACCCACCAUUCAUGAAGAGACUGAAGACUUGCAUUGCGAGGAAGACUCAAAUGAGGGGCAGCCCAAAUACUUCUUCCAAAAAAGCUGAGCUGGCAUGAAGUACACAGCAAGCUGACAAAUACAUGCUUCUCCCAUUGCAAAGAUGGCAAUAUGCAAACAGAAGACUGAGAGUCAGGCUAUUCAUCGGACCAGCUGACAAUUUCACCCAUUUUCAGGAAGAAAGAGUUAAGGAUAAAUAAAUCAGGUCCUCAUCUAGUGUCUGAGUUUUCGUUUGAGACAGCACCUCUGAUGUAGAACAGACUUGCUAGUGUCUUCCACUUAUGUGACCUUGAAUACAGUUGGGAUUUUUUGCUUUAAGUUUUGAUAGAAAUCAUGGAAGCAGAUGGCUUGGGACA